UAAUUGGACAACUGGUAGAAUUCAGUGCCGAAGAAAAUAAAAGUCAAUUCACUGAGGCAGCUCUGAAUAAGUUCCUAUAUCAAUCCCCCAAGCACUACAAACAGUAGCAGCAGACAACUAGCAUUCUGUAAUUACUUUAUCCUGGAUCCCCAGCACCACUUGGCACUGUUUCAGAUGCUGCAAACUUGACGUAUUGGUUUUUUAUGGAUUGCUAUACAAGAGGUAGUCCUUUAAGAGAACUCCGGAAGUACAUACAUUCCUGCAAGUACCUAAUCAGCAGCUCUGGGAGUGGCUACUUCCUUUUGACUCCUCAUGAAACAUAUUUACAGGUUUUGAACAUUUGUGAAAAAGGCACAGCACAACUAGAGCUCUCGAUGACCGUGAAAAGCUGGCAUAGUAUCUUGACAUGAUCCGUGCUUCUUUGCACAUGCUUUCUUCAUAGAUUCUAUAGCUUCCCUGUCCAAAUAAGAAAAUAACGCUUCUUACAUAGAAACCAUGAGGAAAGCAUUGAAGCCAUUCAACUUGGUCACAAGUGAUGUUUGUUUGCAUUUCUUGUAGCUAAUGGGUCUUAUUUGGGUUAGAAUAAUAAUUCCACAAAGGAGCAGAAAUAGCAAAAGCAAUAAGAGAGUUACCCUAUUGCAUCCUCAAUCUCUUUAUCUGCACGUUCUAGCGCUAAAGCAUCCAAGAAAGCCUGCGCUGCCUUUUUAUACUCCU
rnacentral:lncRNA from 1 species